CCAGGCCGAAGUACAUGAUUCCAUGCUUCCAAGAAAAGCAUCUAGAGAGAGAAGUAGUGCCCGUACCGCAAACCGACACAGGUAGAUGAGGAGAGAAUCCUAAGGCCGGCGGAAGAAUUGCAGUUAAGGAACUAGGCAAAUUGACCCCGUAAGUUCGCGAGAAGGGGUGCCUGCGAGAGCAGGCCGCAGAGAAUAGGCCCAAGCAACUGUUUAGCAAAAACACAGGUCUCUGCUAAAGCGUAAGCUGAUGUAUAAGGGCUGACGCCUGCCCGGUGCUGGAAGGUUAAGGGGAACACUUAGCGCAAGCGAAGGUGUGAACUUAAGCCCCAGUAAACGGCGGCCGUAACAAUAACGGUCCUAAGGUAGCGAAAUUCCUUGUCAGGUAAGUUCUGACCCGCACGAAUGGCGUAAUGACUUGGGCACUGUCUCAACUGCAAAUCCGGCGAAGUUGUAGUGCGAGUGAAGAUGCUCGCUACCCGCGAUUGGACGGAAAGACCCCGUAGAGCUUUACUGUAGCUUAGCAUUGAAUUCCGGUAUUGUCUGUACAGGAUAGGUGGGAGACUGGGAAACUAGGGCGUCAGCCUUAGUGGAGUCAACCUUGGGAUACCACCCUGACAGUAUUGGGGUUCUAACAGGACGCCAUGAAUCUGGUGACUGGACAUUGUUAGGUGGGCAGUUUGACUGGGGCGGUCGCCUCCUAAAAAGUAACGGAGGCGCCCAAAGGUUCCCUCAGAACGGUCGGAAAUCGUUCGUAGAGUGCAAAGGCAGAAGGGAGCCUGACUGCGAGACAUACAAGUCGAGCAGGGACGAAAGUCGGGCUUAGUGAUCCGGUGGUACCUCGUGGGAGGGCCAUCGCUCAACGGAUAAAAGCUACCUCGGGGAUAACAGGCUGAUCUCCCCCAAGAGUCCACAUCGAUGGGGAGGUUUGGCACCUCGAUGUCGGCUCGUCGCACCCUGGGGCUGUAGUAGGUCCCAAGGGUUGGGCUGUUCGCCCAUUAAAGCGGCACGCGAGCUGGGUUCAGAACGUCGUGAGACAGUUCGGUCCCUAUCCGUCGCGGGCGUAGGAAAUUUGAGAGGAGCUGUCCUUAGUACGAGAGGACCGGGAUGGACUGACCUCUGGUGCACCAGUUGUUCCGCCAGGAGCAUGGCUGGGUAGCUAAGUCGGGAAGGGAUAAACGCUGAAAGCAUCUAAGCGUGAAGCCUCCCUCAAGAUGAGAUUUCCCAUAGCAUAAGCUAGUAAGACCCCUUGAAGAACACAAGGUUGAUAGGUCAGAGGUGUAAGUGCGGUAACGUAUUUAGCUGACUGAUACUAAUAGGUCGAGGGCUUGACC
rnacentral:rRNA from 1 species